UUUAUUUUUAGUUUGUAUUUGUUAUACCAUCCCAUAAUUAUAGGCCAAAGCCUAAGAUUUAUAAGGCCUGUGAGAACCACCACAUUAAGCCAAGUUUCGAGCCAUAUGUAAUGGCCCAAUUUUGACCUGAGGCCCAAUUAACGCAAUUACAAUUCAGACUAAAAAAUAACUAAACCCAAACAGCCCAAAUACAAGCCCAAUCACCCAAACCCAUUUCCAGCAGCUCAAAACAAACAAAAAAAAAGAAGAAGGAAAAACCUAACCCUAGGUACGCCGCACCUAGGGUAUUUAGACCCAACUGCCACUACCCUAGCUCUGCCACCACCUGCUCCACCGCUCCC
rnacentral:lncRNA from 1 species